rnacentral:ribozyme from 13 species
GAGGAAAAAAAAAAAACCAAAAAAGAAAAAAAAAAAAAAUG